rnacentral:rRNA from 3 species
CCGCCUGGGGAGUACGGCCGCAAGGUUAAAACUCAAAUGAAUUGACGGGGGCCCGCACAAGCGGUGGAGCAUGUGGUUUAAUUCGAUGCAACGCGAAGAACCUUACCUGGUCUUGACAUCCACAGAACUUUCCAGAGAUGGAUUGGUGCCUUCGGGAACUGUGAGACAGGUGCUGCAUGGCUGUCGUCAGCUCGUGUUGUGAAAUGUUGGGUUAAGUCCCGCAACGAGCGCAACCCUUAUCCUUUGUUGCCAGCGAUUAGGUCGGGAACUCA